CCGGCCGAGGGCAGGGGAAGCCCCCCGAGGCGCCGCGCGCGGGGUUCCAGGGCGUCCCGGGAAACCCGGGGCGCAGGACGCACGGUGCGCAGGCGUCCCGCGGCACUUUCCGAGCGCGCAGGGGGUUAAGUGGGACCCGCGGGGGCGGCGGAGAGCCGGGCGGCGCCCAGGAUCCGGCCCAGACGGCGCUCGUGGGCGUUAUUAACAAGGAGCGCAGGUGCCGCUGAGAACGCGCUCGCCGAAGCCGAGCCCCGGAGCCAUGGCCUUGAGCGAGCUGGCACUGCUCCGCUGGCUGCAGGAGAGCCGGCACUCGCGGAAGCUCAUCCUGUUCAUCGUGUUCCUCGCGCUGCUGCUGGACAACAUGCUGCUCACCGUCGUGGUCCCCAUCAUCCCAAGUUACCUGUACAGCAUCGAGCAUGAGAAAGAUGCUAUAGAAAUCCAGACUGCCAAGCCAGUGCCCAAAGCCUCCACCUUCGGCGGCUUCCAGAACAUCUUCUCCUAUUAUGACAACUCCACCGUGGUCGCCGGCAAUAGCACCGGCAGCCUUCAGGGGGCGCUGCUGCAUGAGGCCACCACGCAGCGCACAGUGACUAACAGGUCCACUGCCCCUUCCGACUGUCCCAGUGAAGACAAAGACCUCCUGAAUGAGAACGUGCAGGUCGGCCUGUUGUUUGCCUCGAAAGCCACCGUCCAGCUCCUCACCAACCCGUUCAUAGGACUGUUGACCAACAGGAUCGGCUAUCCAAUUCCAAUGUUCACGGGAUUCUGCAUCAUGUUUAUCUCAACAGUUAUGUUCGCCUUCUCCCGCAGUUACGCCUUCCUGCUGAUCGCCAGGUCCCUGCAGGGCAUCGGUUCCUCCUGCUCUUCUGUGGCUGGGAUGGGCAUGCUGGCCAGCGUGUACACAGAUGACGAGGAGAGAGGCAAUGCCAUGGGGAUUGCCCUGGGAGGCCUGGCCAUGGGGGUCUUAGUGGGCCCCCCCUUUGGGAGUGUGCUGUACGAGUUUGUGGGGAAGACAGCUCCGUUCCUGGUGCUGGCUGCCCUGGUGCUCUUGGACGGAGCUAUUCAGCUCUUCGUGCUCCAGCCAUCCCGGGUGCAGCCAGAGAGCCAGAAGGGGACGCCGCUAACCACCCUGCUGAAGGACCCGUACAUCCUCAUCGCCGCAGGAUCCAUCUGCUUUGCAAACAUGGGGAUUGCCAUGCUGGAGCCAGCCCUGCCCAUCUGGAUGAUGGAGACCAUGUGUUCCCACAAGUGGCAGCUGGGCGUUGCUUUCUUACCAGCUAGUAUUUCUUAUCUCAUUGGAACCAAUAUUUUCGGGAUCCUUGCGCACAAGAUGGGGAGGUGGCUUUGUGCUCUUCUAGGAAUGAUAAUUGUUGGAUUCAGCAUUUUAUGUAUUCCUCUUGCAAAAAACAUUUAUGGACUCAUAGCUCCCAACUUUGGAGUUGGUUUUGCAAUUGGCAUGGUGGAUUCGUCAAUGAUGCCCAUCAUGGGCUACCUGGUUGACCUGCGGCACGUGUCCGUCUAUGGGAGCGUGUAUGCCAUUGCCGAUGUAGCAUUUUGUAUGGGAUAUGCUAUAGGUCCUUCCGCUGGUGGGGCUAUCGCAAAGUCAAUUGGAUUUCCAUGGCUCAUGACAAUUAUUGGAAUAAUUGAUAUUCUUUUUGCUCCUCUCUGCUUUUUUCUCCGAAGUCCACCUGCCAAGGAAGAAAAAAUGGUGAGGAUGAAGAAUCUGAAAGUGACUGAGACCCUCAGAAGUCAUCCAAGUAUCUAAUUGUAUAAAACAGUAUUUCCAGUGAAAUGACUCAUCCAGAACUGUCUUAGUGAUACCACUCAUCCCUGGUGAAAGAGUAAAACAACCAAAGGUUUUCUUUUCCAUGGUUAUGAUCGAUUGCCAACAGCCUUAUAAAGAAAAAGCAGCUUUUCUAGGGACUUCUGAACGUUGUUCACAUCAAUGUGAAAACAAAUUUUACAUGAAGAUGAAGAAGGAAUGAAAUUGUCUUGAAUCGUGUUAGGAAAACAGGUAAAAAUAACAGGGUGGUCAGGGCACACCCCCUUUCACAGGCAGGAAAAAAACCCAAACAUCUAAGAAUGUCUGUAAUACUGUAUCACCUAGUGCUGUGUGUGAUGUAGUUUUUCUAAGCAUGACAUUGAUGUGCCUUUUCGAUGUGACAGCAAGUACUGUGUUAGUGAACAUUGUUAGUUUACAUCGAGUUUUGUAUGAGAUAUGAAGAUAGUGUGGAAUGUCUCAAAUAACACUUGUUCAUUCUGUAGUUCUGUAAUCGUAAACAAAAACUACUUAAUGUCAGCUCUUUGUUAAGCUAAAAUUGUGCUCCUGUUAACUUGGAAGGACCCCUCAACCUUAUAAUUCUCUAAGAAAGUAGCUAAUAACUUCCCAUUUUCUUUAUGAAGCUUUUCUUGUGGGGCUUUGAGCUGAAGUCUGGUCUUCAAGUGCAUGUGUUGGAAGCAAACAAGCGUCCUACUCGUGUAUUUGCGUUGGGCGACUUACACAAGGACUCUGCUUUGCUGGAGGCACUUCUGUGGCUAAAGUAAAAAAGGCAGGACUGUUCUCUACUUCUGGAGGGGAGAGCCUUAAAAAAGAAAUGUGCUGCAAAUCAAUUCUCUGGCGGGGUUUGUGGUUCUCCUCACUCCCAAUACCAUGUAACUUAUCCCUCUUUUAUUUUUGCCUGCAAGGUUUCAGUCUCUUCAAGAAUGACUGGCAGCCAUGUCUGCUGGUGAUCCCUAGAGAUCAUAUAAAAGAUACAUAUUUUUCAGAACUGUUUUGAGAGCAAAAGGUAUCAGUUGUAUCUGAAGGGGAAAAAAAUUGUAAGGUCUUUUAUAUGACCAGUAUUCUGGGAUUGGCAAGACUAUGGAAAAAAAAGCUUUUUUUUUUUUUUUUUUUUUUUUAAUGUGUGUAUCAGAACAAAGAACACACAGCUCUCUGAACAUUUAUUUUUUGAGCAGAGGUGUUUUUUAUGUUUGUACCUGGCAAAACAGAUACAAAAAGCUUAAUGAGGUAGUGAUGAAUAUUCAAUUCUUUUGACUGCUAACUGUAUCCACGUACGUCAUGUUUUAGCUAGUUUACUUAAUAAAUCUUCUGAACACUACCGUGCCUGUUGUAUUCCUUUGUUAACCAGAUAUUAUCAUUGGAAUAAAAUAUGUGAGAAGGUACUG